rnacentral:rRNA from 1 species
AAACGACUCUCGGCAACGGAUAUCUCGGCUCUGCAUCGAUGAAGAACGUAGGAAAUGCGAUACUGGUGUGAAUUGCAGAAUCCCGUGAACCAUCGAUCUUUGAAGCAAGUUGCGCCGAAGCCACUAGGCCGAGGGCACGUCUGCC